GAGGAACACCACCUGCGAACUGUGGUAACCCCGCCCCUAGUGGCGGGCAUCACCACAACCCUACUCCAUCGCCUCCUUCAGGAGGCCAUGGAGGUGGUGGUUACUAUCCCUCCCCUCCAUCUCAUGGUGGAAGCCCUCCAAGUACUCCUAGUACCCCCAGUACACCAUCCACCCCCUCCACACCUACUAUUGUAACCCCACCUACACCUCCUACAAUAGACCCUGGCACUCCAAGUACUCCAGGGGGUGGUUACUAUGGUGGAAGUCCUCCAAGUAUUCCUACCCCUAGUAUUACACCCCCUACCCCUUCUACACCUAUCAUUGAAACACCACCAACUACUCCAGUCGUUGAAACACCACCAACUACUCCUACCAUUGAUCCAGGUACUCCAAGUGCUCCAGGGGUCUUUCCAAUUGACCCCAACUCACCACCUUUUACAUGCG
rnacentral:lncRNA from 1 species